UACGUAGGGCGCAAGCGUUAUCCGGAAUUAUUGGGCGUAAAGAGCUCGUAGGCGGUUUGUCGCGUCUGCCGUGAAAGUCCGGGGCUCAACCCCGGAUCUGCGGUGGGUACGGGCAGACUAGAGUGAUGUAGGGGAGACUGGAAUUCCUGGUGUAGCGGUGAAAUGCGCAGAUAUCAGGAGGAACACCGGUGGCGAAGGCGGGUCUCUGGGCCGAUACUGACGCUGAGGAGCGAAAGCGUGGGGAGCGAACAGG
rnacentral:rRNA from 1 species